AACGAACGCUGGCGGCAUGCCUAACACAUGCAAGUCGAACGAGACCUUCGGGUCUAGUGGCGCACGGGUGCGUAACGCGUGGGAACCUGCCCUUAGGUUCGGAAUAACUCCCCGAAAGGGGUGCUAAUACCGGAUAAUGUCUUCGGACCAAAGAUUUAUCGCCUUUGGAUGGGCCCGCGUUGGAUUAGCUAGUUGGUAGGGUAAGAGCCUACCAAGGCGACGAUCCAUAGCUGGUCUGAGAGGAUGAUCAGCCACACUGGGACUGAGACACGGCCCAGACUCCUACGGGAAGCAGCAGUGGGGAAUAUUGGACAAUGGGCGAAAGCCUGAUCCAGCAAUGCCGCGUGAGUGAUGAAGGCCUUAGGGUUGUAAAGCUCUUUUACCCGGGAUGAUAAUGACAGUACCGGGAGAAUAAGCGCCGGCUAACUCCGUG
rnacentral:rRNA from 1 species